UACGUAGGGGGCAAGCGUUGUCCGGAUUUAUUGGGCGUAAAGAGCGUGUAGGCGGCCAGACAGGUCCGUUGUGAAAACUAGAGGCUUAACCUCUAGACGUCGAUGGAAACCGGCUGGCUAGAGUCCGGAAGAGGAGAAUGGAAUUCCCGGUGUAGAGGUGAAAUUCGUAGAUAUCGGGAGGAACACCAGUGGCGAAGGCGGAGACCUGGGCCAAUACUGACGCUGAGGUGCGAAAGCGUGGGGAGCAAACAGG
rnacentral:rRNA from 1 species